rnacentral:rRNA from 1 species
UCCUACGGGGCGCAGCAGUGGGGGAUAUUGCACAAUGGGGGGAACCCUGAUGCAGCGACGCCGCGUGGGUGAAGAAGUAUUUCGGUAUGUAAAGCCCUAUCGGCAGGGAAGAAAUUGGACGGUACCUGACUAAGAAGCCCCGGCUAACUACGUGCCAGCAGCCGCGGUAAUACGUAUGGUGCAAGCGUUAUCCGGAUUUACUGGGUGUAAAGGGCGUGCAGCCGGGCUGACAAGUCAGAUGUGAAAUCCCGCGGCUCAACCGCGGAACUGCAUUUGAAACUGUCAGUCUUGAGUACCGGAGAGGG